rnacentral:rRNA from 1 species
GUCAUGAGACGUCUGACGGAGCACGCCGCGUGAGUGAUGAAGGAUUUCGGUCUGUAAAGCUCUGUUGUUUAUGACGAACGUGCAGUGUGUGAACAAUGCAUUGCAAUGACGGUAGUAAACGAGGAAGCCACGGCUAACUACGUGCCAGCAGCCGCGGUAAUACGUAGGUGGCGAGCGUUGUCCGGAAUUAUUGGGCGUAAAGAGCAUGUAGGCGGCUUAAUAAAUCGAGCGUGAAAAUGCGGGGCUCAACCCCGUAUGGCGCUGGAAACUGUUAGGCUUGAGUGCAGGAGAGGAAAGGGGAAUUCCCAGUGUAGCGGUGAAAUGCGUAGAUAUUGGGAGGAACACCAGUGGCGAAGGCGCCUUUCUGGACUGUGUCUGACGCUGAGAUGCGAAAGCCAGGGUAGCGAACGGGAUUAGAUACCCCGGUAGUCCUGGCCGUAAACGAUGGGUACUAGGUGUAGGAGGUAUCGACCCCUUCUGUGCCGGAGUUAACGCAAUAAGUACCCCGCCUGGGGAGUACGGCCGCAAGGUUGAAACUCAAAGAAAUUUUGGCGG